rnacentral:rRNA from 1 species
AAUACAUGCAAGUCGUACGCAUUCUCGUUUCUGAUUGACGGUGCUUGCACCUAAUUGACGAGACAUUGGAAUGAGUGGCGGACGGGUGAGUAACACGUGGGUAACCUGCCCAUUAGAGGGGGAUAACAUUCGGAAACGGAUGCUAAUACCGCAUAGUUUCAGGAAUCGCAUGAUUCUUGAAGGAAAGGUGGCUUCGGCUACCACUAAUGGAUGGCCCCGCGGCGUAUUAGCGAGUUGGUGAGGUAAUGGCUCACCAAGGCAAUGAUACGUAGCCGACCUGAGAGGGUGAUCGGCCACACUGGGACUGAGACACGGCCCAGACUCCUACGGGAGGCAGCAGUAGGGAAUCUUCCGCAAUGGACGAAAGUCUGACGGAGCAACGCCGCGUGAGUGAAGAAGGUUUUCGGAUCGUAAAACUCUGUUGUUAAAGAAGAACAAGGAUGAGAGUAACUGCUCAUCCCCUGACGGUAUUUAACCAGAAAGCCACGGCUAACUACGUGCCAGCCGCCGCAGUAA